UACAGAGGGUGCAAGCGUUGUUCGGAAUUAUUGGGCGUAAAGGGCGCGUAGGCGGUGCGGUAAGUCUGUAGUGAAAUCUCUGGGCUCAACUCAGAGUCUGCUAUAGAAACUGCCGUGCUUGAGUGUGGGAGAGGUGAGUGGAAUUCCCGAUGUAGCGGUGAAAUGCGUAGAUAUCGGGAGGAACACCUGUGGCGAAAGCGGCUCACUGGACCACAACUGACGCUGAGGCGCGAAAGCUAGGGGAGCAAACAGG
rnacentral:rRNA from 1 species